rnacentral:rRNA from 1 species
GGCGUGCCUAACACAUGCAAGUCGAGCGAUCUCUUCGGAGAGAGCGGCGGACGGGUGAGUAACGCGUGGGUAACCUGCCCUGUACACACGGAAUAACAUACCGAAAGGUAUACUAAUACGGGAUAACAUACGAAAGUCGCAUGGCUUUUGUAUCAAAGCUCCGGCGGUACAGGAUGGACCCGCGUCUGAUUAGCUAGUUGGUAAGGUAAUGGCUUACCAAGGCAACGAUCAGUAGCCGACCUGAGAGGGUGAUCGGCCACACUGGAACUGAGACACGGUCCAGACUCCUACGGGAGGCAGCAGUGGGGAAUAUUGCACAAUGGGCGAAAGCCUGAUGCAGCAACGCCGCGUGAGCGAUGAAGGCCUUCGGGUCGUAAAGCUCUGUCCUCAAGGAAGAUAAUGACGGUACUUGAGGAGGAAGCCCCGGCUAACUACGUGCCAGCAGCCGCGGUAAUACGUAGGGGGCUAGCGUUAUCCGGAAUUACUGGGCGUAAAGGGUGCGUAGGUGGUUUUUUAAGUCAGAAGUGAAAGGCUACGGCUCAACCGUAGUAAGCUUUUGAAACUAGAGAACUUGAGUGCAGGAGAGGAGAGUAGAAUUCCUAGUGUAGCGGUGAAAUGCGUAGAUAUUAGGAGGAAUACCCAGUAGCGAAGGCGGGCUCUCUGGNACUGUAACUGACACUG